GCAAGCUCUACGGUAUGUGUCUCUUCAUGUAUCCCACGUCCCACAUACCUCACACCCGCCUUCCCGCACUUCUCCAACACCCACCAAUCUCACCUUUUUCUGGAUCACCUCUACCAGCCCAAUCUCCAAUUCCAUCUCUCGCAACUGACGGCCGAUGUCUUCGCGGAUAUCGUCAAGGCUGCCAGACACAUUGACAAAUGUGAAUAUGGGCGAAUGAAUGGAACCAGGAUCACUAGCGUCACAUAGCUCAGAUGUCAGCCUUGGAGAUUCUUUGGCCAAACCUACUCAACUCACACAAAGUGCCUUGCCCGUCGUUCUCCAAAAUACUUUUUGCAAAAGUUCACGAUAGACCAGUGGUGAUCCUCCCAACAUGUAUAUGUACCUUUUAUCUGCUGAGGUUUAAGGUACAUGGUCACCUGUUCCGCAUGGAUACCAGAUGGUUUAUCCAGUAGGAUGAGGUCGCUAGGGUACCCUUGAUGGAGUACGAGCGAUCUCACUCUUUUUUCAAGAUAUCCUGAUAUUCUGCCGUAGGUAUCGAAAGAGUUCGGUGGUAGAUGGAAACACAAUGAAGGGUUAUCUGGCCAUGCACUGCCAAGAGUAUCUAGCAUCGCACCCCAGGGAAGCGCAUCCCGACAGGUUUUGGGGAGCGAUGAAGGCCCAAAACUAAUUCGCCGUAGUUGUGGGAAAAGGAUGUCGUAUGGUCCACGUGAAUCUCGCGGUGCUACCUUUGACAUAGAUAUAGUUUUUUGAUAGCGUUUUAGCUCCAUGACGGC
rnacentral:sRNA from 1 species